AUUGAACGCUGGCGGCAUGCCUUACACAUGCAAGUCGAACGGUAACGCGGGGCAACCUGGCGACGAGUGGCGAACGGAUGAGUAAUGCAUCGGAACGUGCCCAGUAGUGGGGGAUAGCCCGGCGAAAGCCGGAUUAAUACCGCAUACGACCUACGGGUGAAAGCGGGGGACCGUAAGGCCUCGCGCUAUUGGAGCGGCCGAUGUUAGGUUGGGUUGUUGGUGGGGUAAAAGCCUACCAAGCCGACGAUCUGUAGCUGGUCGGAGAGGACGACCAGGCACACUUGGGCUGGGACACGGCCCCGACUCCUCCGGGAGGCAGCAGUGGGGAAUUUUGGACAAUGGGGCAACCCUGAUCCAGCCAUGCCGCGUGCGGGAAGAAGGCCUUCGGGUUGUAAACCGCUUUUGUCAGGGAAGAAACGCUCUGGGCUAAUACCCCGGGGUAAUGACGGUACCUGAAGAAUAAGCACCGGCUAACUACGUGCCAGCCGCCGCAGUAAAAC
rnacentral:rRNA from 1 species